CCCCCACUCCUGCCCGCCAGAGAACAAACCCCCUUUGACUGUAAGUUUCCUUUACCUACCCAAAUCUUAUAAAACGGCCCCACCCCUAUCUCCCUUCACUGACUCUCCUUUCAGACUCAGCCCACCUGCAGCCAGGUGAAAUAAACAGCCUUGUUGCUCACACAAUGCCUGUUUGGUGGUCUCUUCACAUGGACGCGCAUGAAAAUGACACCCAUU
rnacentral:lncRNA from 1 species